UACGUAGGGUGCAAGCGUUAAUCGGAAUUACUGGGCGUAAAGCGUGCGCAGGCGGUUCGCUAAGACAGAUGUGAAAUCCCCGGGCUUAACCUGGGAACUGCAUUUGUGACUGGCGGGCUAGAGUAUGGCAGAGGGGGGUGGAAUUCCUGGUGUAGCAGUGAAAUGCGUAGAUAUCAGGAGGAACAUCGAUGGCGAAGGCAGCCCCCUGGGCCUGUACUGACGCUCAUGCACGAAAGCGUGGGGAGCAAACAGG
rnacentral:rRNA from 1 species